GACGAACGCUUGCGGCGUGCCUAAAAAAUGCAAGUCGAGCGAGGUCGAGGCUUCGGCCUUUAUACCUAGCGGCGAACGGUCGCGUAACACGUAACCAACCUGCCCCAGAGUGGGGGAUACCCCGCCGAAAGGCGGAUUAAUACCGCAUGUGGACAAUCCGACGCUUGUUGGGUUGUCUAAAGCAUCAAUGCGCUCUGGGAUGGGCUUGCGGCCUAUCAGCUAGUUGGUGAGGGUAACGGCCCACCAAGGCGACGACGGGUAGCUGGUCUGAGAGGAUGGUCAGCCGGACUGGGACUGAGACCCGGCCCACACUCCUACGGGGGGCAGCAAUUAAGAAUCUUGCGCAAUGGGCGAAAGCCUGACGCAGCCACGCCGCGUGACCGAUGAUUUCCUUCGGGAUGUAAAGGUCUUUUCUGAGGGAAGAAGGAUGUGACGGUACCUCAGGAAUACGCCCCGGCUAACUACGUGCCAGCAGCCGCGGUAAUACGUAGGGGGCGAGCGUUGUCCUAAUUCACUGGGCGUAAAGCGCGCGUAGGCGGGUUACUAAGUUGGGGGGUGAAAUCCCGAGGCUCA
rnacentral:rRNA from 1 species